GUCAGUCCCCAGUCAGGACACAGCAUGGACAUGAGGGCCCCCGCUCAGCUCCUGGGGCUCCUGCUGCUCUGGUUCCCAGGUGGCAGAUGUGACAUCCAGUUGACCCAGUCUUCAUCUCUGUCUGGAUCUUUAGGAGCCACAGUCACCAUCACUUGCCGAGCCAGCCAGGGUAUUAGCAAUAAUUUACACUGGUAUCAGCAGACCCCAGGGAAAGCUCCUAAACUCCUAAUCAGAUACGCAACCACUUUGGAGUCUGGGGUCCCCUCCAGGUUCAGUGGCAGUGGAUCUGGGACAGAUUUCACUCUCACCAUCAGCAACCUGCAGCCUGAAGAUGUUGCCACUUAUUUUUGUCAGCAGAGUAAUAAUUACCCUCCCACGGUGGUACAGGCAAUGACAUAA